AGUCCUGUAGCUCAGUCGGUUAGAGCCUGAAGCUUAUAGGUACAUAUUAGUAUCUUCAAGGUCGGGGGUUCGAUCCCCCCCAGGACUA